UAAUAUUUCAGAAGUUGGCAAAAAAAGGAAAGAAAAAUAGAAAGAGAAAAUAGAAAAGAAAAAAAAUAGAAGGAUGUCAAUACAUGUCAAUAAAUUAUCCUUUUGAAAAAGAAAUAAAAACAAAUAAAAAGAUAAAGGAGAAGAGAAAGCAGUUGUUAUAGAGUUGUUGUUGAAGUGAAUGAAAUCUUUUGUGAAUUCAACUUCUGCAGUUUCUUUCAAGUCUCUUUUGUCUCUUUGAAUUUUAUCCUAGUACUCCUU
rnacentral:lncRNA from 1 species